GUGACGCCCUUACCGAGACCACUUACCACCCCUCCAGUGACCAACACGUACUUCAUUUAUGCUUUUAACUUCUUUUGGCUUUUGAGAGAGGAAUCAGAAGAAAGAAUUUCUAUUAUUCCAAAUGUACUCAGCUUCACUUUCAAUAAUCAUAUACCAACUUUAUUACUUAUUACUUCUUCUCAGCUACUAAAUUUACUUUUCACAAUAAUCUAAUCUAAUAGAUGCUGAUUGGUCCCUUCCCGGAUCACCCUGAAACAAACGCAUUAAAUUAAUGGAUCAAGAUUGUAUUUUUAUCAGCAUCUAUUUACCACUUUUCUUCAAAAUAUCAUCUUAAUUGAUCUACUACUUCACCAGAAACCUUGCAACAGAUUGUCAUAAACCCACAUAGAUAUUAACACAGAAAUCUUACACAACAACCACAGAAAUCAUUAUCACAUACGAAUUUUGGAUCUUCUAUUGUCAACAUAAAGCACACAGAUUACACCACAUUAAUCAUACAAGGUCUGAAGGUCUGCAUGCAUACAAUCAAUAACAUCAAUCUUGACAGAAUUUCAGACAAAAAACCAAAUCUUCACAGGAAUUACAUACCAGACCAGGAAUUCAGUAAGGAUUCAGAUUAACUAAUGUGCUUCAAACACUAAUUAGACACUAAUCGAACAACUAAGUGCAGCUGCUUCAUUGAAUCAGACAAGCAUACACUUGUACCGAACCAGAAAAAAAAUGACUUACCGGGAGAUCGGAGAAGACGAGACUAUAGCUGGUACGCCGUUGAUCGGAGGUUUGUAGGCGUAGGACGGAGAAAGGUCGGUGGUGAAGAAGAAGUGUGGAGGCUGCUUUGAACGCGGGGAGCGGUGAACGAGGUAUAGGUUUUGGGUAUAAAUGGAAUAUCUGU
rnacentral:lncRNA from 1 species